rnacentral:lncRNA from 1 species
CAAAAUUAAAAGAUUCACAUAAACUAAAAGGUAAUUCAUCCUUAACUAUCCAUUUUACAAGUGCUUUUCUUUGAUUUUCAUGAUUAUAUGCAAAAUUACCUACAAGUAAUCCUCCUUGUAUAUUAAGGGUACUUUGAGUUUGAGCAUGAAAAUCAUGCAUCCUAUGACUCUCUUGAUGUCUUUUUAAAUGCCCUGUUCCCCCACUACUACUACAACUAUAAAGUUUGGCACAUUUUUUACAUUUAGCUUUCCAAACUCCAUCAACCAUAACUCUAUCAAAUUCAUUCCAUACAGCACUAGUCCUCUUACGAGAAGAGGUUUGAUCUUCACUCGGUUCACUAGUUCUAGAGGAACUAGGAACAUGGGGUUGGAGAUUAGUUUCUUCUCCCUCAGAAACAGGAGGAAUGCCAAAAUGACUUUCCUCAAAAG